rnacentral:rRNA from 1 species
CAGUAGCCACGGGAAAACGGAGGGUGCAAGCGUUAUCCGGAUUUAUUGGGUUUAAAGGGUCCGUAGGCGGAUCUGUAAGUCAGUGGUGAAAUCUCACAGCUUAACUGUGAAACUGCCAUUGAUACUGCAGGUCUUGAGUAAAUUUGAAGUGGCUGGAAUAAGUAGUGUAGCGGUGAAAUGCAUAGAUAUUACUUAGAACACCAAUUGCGAAGGCAGGUCACUAAGAUUUAACUGACGCUGAUGGACGAAAGCGUGGGGAGCGAACAGGAUUAGAUACCCGGGUAGUCCCUGUCUCUUAUAC